AUCGAACGCUGGCGGCAGGCCUAACACAUGCAAGUCGAACGAGUGGCGGACGGGUGAGUAAUGUCUGGGAAACUGCCCGAUGGAGGGGGAUAACUACUGGAAACGGUAGCUAAUCCCGCAUACCAUCGGAUGUGCCCAGAUGGGCUUAGCUAGUAGGUGGGGUAACGGCUCACCUAGGCGACGAUCCCUAGCUGGUCUGAGAGGAUGACCAGCCAAACUGGAACUGGGAAACGGUCCAAACGCCUACGUGAGGCAGCAGAGGGAAAUAUUGCACAAUGGGCGAAAGCCUGAUGCAGCAAGGCCGGGUGUAUGAAGAAGGCCUUCGGGUGGUAAAGUACUUUCAGCGAGGAGGCGGUACUCGCAGAAGAAGCAACGGCUAACUACGUGCCAGCAGCCGCGGUAAUUC
rnacentral:rRNA from 1 species